CCCAAAGUGUCCCUUCAGCAUUGACAGAUGGAAGUGAAUGGAGAGGAAGGCAAAGGACUGGACUCCAGAGAACAUCAACACCCGGUGAUGGUUCUGAUGGAAGAAAAACAAAGGCAAGGCAAAUGAUAAGGUUUUCAUACAGAAAUACAGAGCUCUUGUAGAAACUGAUUCUGUUUCUGGUUCUAUCACAAUUUGCUAUGAUGGCCUCCCCAGAGAGGAUAAAGCUUAUAGACUGCAAACUGGAAGAGCUUGUAGAUGACCUCUGUCACAACUGUAAUUUGAUCUCAAGGUCACAUGGACAAGACUGGGAAGUAUGUGUCACACAUCAUCC
rnacentral:lncRNA from 1 species